GCGGCUUUGACCCUCCUGUCUCUUCCUCUCCUUUUAAUAAACCCUACCGAAAAAAUUCCUUCUUUUUCCUGUUGUCUUACGGCAAUAAACUAAACUUUCAAAGGAUUUUGCUGGGUUUAUGGUAACAAUGGCGUUGAUAUCAGUUACCUGUCCAUUUAGUUUGUUUAUGAUUUUUCUAUUGAUUCUGAUUUUUUUCUUUCUUAUUGUUUGAUGAAUGUAUUACUGCUGUUAACAGAAAUCAGAGAUUAUGAUGUAAGUAUUCGUGGUAGAUAAGGUAGAAGCUAUUCGUGAAACAAUAGGGUUUUACGCCUCUAAGCUUUUAAUACUUCUUAGUUCGAGCUUUUCUUGACUAGAAAUCCUUUGUGCAUUAUAAAAUUGGAUAUUGUUUUGGGCAUACAAUUGACUUAUUGAUCAAUGAUUCGAUUUUUAACCAGACGUACAUUUUUUUUUAUAUAUGUUUCUUUUGCUUAGUCAUGGUUGGUUCUCUGCUAUUACCUCCGUUUUCGGCUCAACUGCCUGUGUGGGAGGGAGAAGAGAUCAAGGCUGCCUAAUUAAGCAGGUUACAUGAUUUAUGAUUGGAGGAAGUGAUUUCAAAAUUACAUUGCAGGCUGUUCUCAGUGAGAUGCGGAAGGGGAAAUAAAAGCAUGAUGUCCAAGGAAAUAUGCUAGUUGGUGGCGGUAUCAUCCAGGGUAAGUUGAGUCAGCAGACACGUUGGGAUCAGGACGAGCGAGUGAGAUGGAUACACGUAAGGCAAGAUUCAUAUGGGAUAAGGUUAAGUUAGUUCUGGAAAACGGGGUAACUCUUGGAAUUGAUUUGAUUUUCUUUGGCUCAAUAGCCAAAACAUGCUUAUAGCAAGGAAGUGAGAUGCAUUAACGGGGAGCCCUUCAGGUUUAGGUUUGAAGUGUAGCCAACAGUUAAAUGUAGAUAAUAUUUAUCAGAACCCUUCAACAAUAAUAGUCUACGCAUGGAUACAUGAAAACUGAUAUGCAGGUCAGGUGUAAGGAGGACGGUAUGAACGUUGCUCGCGUGGAUAUGUCUCUUUCCUUCAGUUUACCUACAGAUAGGGCGAGGCAGGAUUAAUCUCUGAUAGGUGGUGACUGUUGGUCCAUGGUGGUUCUUGCAAUCUAAAUAGUUAGUGCGUGGUUCAACCAAUAGUUAGCAUACACUAGAAAUGGAUUAGUAAGACAAAGAUCAUCUUUCUAUUCUCUUUACCAUGGUUAAUUAUUUUACUUAUAUUGGAACUGAAUUGCAUGAAAAAUCAUGUAAUUAAGCUUGAUCUCCAACUAUCCUCAUGUUGAAGGAUAUCAAUGUGGUGUUGUCGUGUCGGUACUAUCUGAACAAAACAACGUAUAGUAUAUCUGGAUUUUUUUUGGGGG